rnacentral:rRNA from 1 species
GACGAACGCUGGCGGCGUGCUUAACACAUGCAAGUCGAACGAUGAAGCCGGAGCUUGCUCCGGUGGAUUAGUGGCGAACGGGUGAGUAACACGUGAGCAAUCUGCCCUUGACUCUGGGAUAACUGCGGGAAACUGUAGCUAAUACCGGAUACGACACCUUGGGGCAUCCCAGGGUGUGGAAAGAAUUUCGGUCAAGGAUGAGCUCGCGGCCUAUCAGCUAGUUGGUGAGGUAAUGGCUCACCAAGGCGACGACGGGUAGCCGGCCUGGGAGGGUGACCGGCCACACUGGAACUGAGACACGGUCCAGACUCCUACGGGAGGCAGCAGUGGGGAAUAUUGCACAAUGGGCGAAAGCCUGAUGCAGCAACGCCGCGUGAGGGAUGAAGGCCUUCGGGUUGUAAACCUCUUUUAGCAGGGAAGAAGCGAAAGUGACGGUACCUCCAGAAAAAGCACCGGCUAACUACGUGCCAGCCGCCGCAGUAA